GUCAUUUCGACUGAUUUUUCCACUAUUAUUAUUUUGUUAUUAUUACUAUUAUUAUUAUUACUAUAAUUGUUAUUAUUACUAUUAUAUAUUGGACUCGAGGACAGUACUCGGCUCCUUCACCAUGUUUUUAAUUUUUGUGGGAACAAGUAAGGAUCGACAUGCAUAGUAAAGAUGAUAACUUUGCUCGAUUAGACACUACCACUAAGAGUUCAUAAUUAAAACACAAACGAUAAUUUUGCUGCUGAAAGCGGUAAUUGCUUAAUUUAAGCACUAUAACUUCAUUGCUACAAGCAUAACUUAGGGAACGUCGGGUUACAGAAGUUUAUUAUA
rnacentral:tmRNA from 1 species